AAUAUAUGGAAGAAGAAGAAGCGCUUCAAACAUCAGAGUAUCUUGAGUCAGAGAUGACCAAUGAUCCUACAAGUGCUGGGCCUGGGCCAGCUUCAUCCUCCGUCAAUUUUCAGUCUUCAGCCUCAUCUGCUGCACAACAAUCUACAAAUUAAAAGAAUUGCAAUUGCUUGAAUGAAGGAAAGGAAAGAAGGAAAGGGCAUGGACUUUUGCUGGUCAUGUAUUUUGAACUUUUAUAGACUUAAUUUAAUGUUUAUGGUUGUAGACGACUUAUGGACUUUAUUUUGGUUUUGUGGUUAACUAGUUAUGUACUUAAGUUUAUGGAUUUUAUCGUUGUUUAUUUAUGGUUGCAGUUUU